AGUUUUCUUCGGAAAUGAGCAUGUUCUCUACUGGCGGUGACAGCCCGCGAGCCAUUCGGCUAAUUCGGUGUAAUUCCGGAGCCAACAGUCAGUCUGGAGGGGAGAAGGAGGCU
rnacentral:ncRNA from 2 species